AAUACCACAAACACAAGAGAUGCUUUGUAAUUUUCAAACGGACGUCUUACCACGUAGCACGUUACGCUGAGUCAGAGGAAGAGGACGAAUCUAUGAACCGUUUGAAUCAAACGUAACUAGAAAAAAGAUCAUUUGGAUUUGGAACAUCAAAUAAGGAGAAGAUCGACAGGGCUGAGAUUCCAGAUCCUGACAGGCUGGCCAGACUCUCUCCUCUCUGCAGGGAGGUUCACUUGAAGGCAGUGAAGACCAACAAAUUUGGUUCUCCAGGAAUCUCUUGGAAAUUGCUGCUGUACCUUGAACAUGAUCAAAAAGAUAAUUCUUAAGUUCAAACAGGGACAUGGAACAUUAGUCAUCAAAGAUGAAGAGCUACUGCUGCUAUUGUUUAAAUUAGAGAAUUUCCCAACUGCUUUGUUUGAUUAUCCAUGAGAGGAGAGAAGGAUCUUGUCAAGUGAUCACGUGCAGCCUGAAACUGGAACAUACUUGACAAAUUACCCUGAAAAACAAAACAAAAUCUGUUGUCAUGUACAACGAAAAACUUUGCCACAGUCCAUAGACUAAUUGUUUAUAUUUCCUCAGCUUUUAGUCCAAAUAUGCUCCAAGAUAGGUUAAAGGACCAUUCUUUUCUCACCACUGUGACAAAUUUACACCAAAACACUUCCGAUUAACUUCAACAGAUGAUUUUGAUCAGCACAAUCAAGCCAUUUUCCUUCAUUUCUGUCUUUGAGGUUAAUGUGAUCAAGGCGGAUAUACAGACAGGCGCAUGGGAAAGUAUUGUAACAACAGAAUGUUUGAGGCUACUUGUAAAUGUUUGAGGAAAUGUAAACACAGCAAUGCACGUAAUUCACACACUGGGACAAAUAUUGACUAACACUAAACUCCCACACGCUCAUAAAGCUGAAGUGGAAACUGUUGGCUGAUUCCAUUCCAUUUUUUUUUUCGGUUUACAUCUAUAAAAAUAUAAGGAUAUAGGAUUAGACUGUUUCAUUACUUCAUUGUAACACAUUGUAAUGGUUUGGCGUGGACUUUAGCAUGUUUGCUAUACAAAGUUAAAGGCCUUUAAUGACAUGAAACAGCUGUCAAUUGGACCUAGUGUAAACACAAACACAACUUAGAACAAACGCAGCUCAGUCCGAUACAGUGAUGGGAAUAAUCGCCGCACGCUACGUACUAAUAGCCUGAACCUCAAAGGCAUUUUUGUUUCCCAGAACCGUUCGGCAUGGCUACAAAUCCCUGUAGAGUGGCAAACAUCUAAUGUGAAAAGUGCAGAAUAAGCUACUGAAUGUUAGAAUGCUGUGAAAAGAGGCAGAACACACAUGGAAAGCUGACCUCCCUCUGCUUGCAGACGUGUGUGAUUUAUGAAUAUAGCCUAGAUGCGGAUAGGUUAUUAUUGCUGCUCCAGGAUAACACAGCCUGUAACUGUGUUGUAAAAUCUCUUGCAGGAGACACUGCUCCCAGUGUUUUGUAUUCAUUACUUACCACACAAAUUACUCAAUAACUUGAAUAAAAAACAUAAGUAGUCAAAAAAUGUGAUGCAGCAAGAAUAACCGACAUACUGUUCGAAAGUUUGAGGUCUGUAUGAUUUUUGAAUGUUUGGAAUUCAGUCUCUUAUGCUCACCAAGGCUGCAUUUAUUAGAUCAUUUUUUUUUCUUAUCAAUGUUGAAAACUAUGCGCUACUUAAUGUUUGUGGAAACAUGAUAUAUAAUGUUUCAGGAUUCUUUAAAUAGAAAGUGAUUACUGUCACUUUUGAUCAAUUUAAUGCAUCCUUGCAGAGUAAAAGUAUUAGAUUCAUUCAAAAUAAAAUAUUACAGACCUCAAAAUUGUUACAAGUAGUGUACAUUAUCUACAACGUCCAAUAAAAGCAUUACAUUUUAGGGCUGUAUGCCUUAUGAACUGCUUGUAUCUAAUUAGCAGCAAAGCCCAAUCUUUGUUAUUGACUUAAGAGACUGACUUAAGAUCAUGAAAUUUAAACACCAACAAAUCCUUGUCCUUUGACUCUCUACUGCUGCCUCUAUCCAUUAACAUAAGGAAUUAUAAAAACAUUCAAAGCAUGAGUGGAACGAAGGGAAUCCUCUUGGCAGCAAAAGAGCAAUGUGUGGCUGAAUACAAAGCAUAUGUGUUAAACAUGUCUGGAAAGAAAAAUUACAGCAGGAGAAUAGUUUAGAAACAUAAACCAAAAAAAUACAAACAAUGUACCUUUUUGUAAAAUUGUGAAUGAUUUGGGCAUGAUUGUGAAUGAAUUACAUCCGUACUAUACUUAGGUUAAUGCUGCUCUAGCCAGACUGGCCUUUCUGGGCCUUUUACAUACUGAAACAUUAAGGUGAAAUGAUUCUAAACUGUCUGAAACAGUAUCCAGUUCACCUCUCUGAAGGUCAGACUUCAAAUUCCUCCUGAAGCUGAGCUCUCCCCCUUUCAAGAAGACCGUUCAAGAAGGGCUACACAAAAAACUCAUAAACUGGGUGCAAGGGCAUAGAUAUAACAUGAUGUGUGCAAAUAAAGACUUUAUAGUAAAAUGAGUAAACAAAAAAAAUUAAAAAUUAAUUACGAUAAAAAGUCUGUAAUAUUCCUAACCCGGAAGAUACGCCAUUUCUAUUUUUGAUGAUUAUUUACCAUAUUACUGAAAUAUACAUUUAAACUAUUUUAGCUACUUUUAGUGGAAUUAUUCUAGGUGACCUGAUCUCUAAGUAAAUGUAUGCAUAAGUUGUGCUGGAUGCAUGCAUAAUCUUGUUGAUCCUCUUCUCUUCCCACACAUAUGGCUGAAAAUAUAAUGAAUGCUCCUCGAUGUCUCUUCAUCUCCAGUACAUGGACAAGAGAUCUGUCACAACAGAGAGCAAACACUGUAAACACAAAUGCCACAGUAACAAACAAAUAUAAGCCAUUUCUAAAACUGAACCCUCUCUAAUAGUAAGGGGGUGAUGAAGCAUGAACAUGGAGAUAAAACAGGUUGGAAAAUAUUUGGAAAAUAUAAACACUUCUCCUUAAAUGCUUAGCCAGAAACAACACUGUCAUCAAAAGAGAUUCCACACAGUAGGAAAGAUCCACAUGGCAAAUCCACGUUUAGAACUCUUUUACCAGAGUUCUCACCAGCUGGAAAACUCCCAUGAGAUGCCACUAAUGUGUGUUGUUUGAUAAAGUAUAGGGAUCAAGAAGACUGUAUUGAGGAGCAAACAGUCUUCCAUAAAUUUGCUCUCUUUCAAGUGCUGUUUUGGAAUUCCAUCAAUCCAUGCACCCAUCCUCAUCAUCUUCGUUCUCAAUGUGCCACAGUGUUGGGGAAACUCCACUACAAAGAGUUCCUGUGGGUGUCUCGGAGGAUCUCAGUGACUCAGUAACACAAAUUCUCAUUUCAAAACCAUCCCACCAGCUGUGGGCCAACAGAAUGUGAAGUAAACAGGAUGACUACUGAUGCACAAAUAUUUCAGAACAAUGGAAAAAUUACAAUAAUUUUUUUUUUUUUUCAGAAUUGUAUUCUCUUAAUGGGUAGUUUUUUCUUUAAUAAUCAUUUAAUAAAAAAGUAAUCUUUUUUUUACAUUAUUGUUUACUUUUUACAAUAAGGUAACUA